GAUGAACGCUGGCGGCGUGCCUAAUACAUGCAAGUCGAGCGAACAGACGAGGAGCUUGCUCCUCUGACGUUAGCGGCGGACGGGUGAGUAACACGUGGAUAACCUACCUAUAAGACUGGGAUAACUUCGGGAAACCGGAGCUAAUACCGGAUAAUAUAUUGAACCGCAUGGUUCAAUCGUGAAAGACGGUUUUGCUGUCACUUAUAGCUGGAUCCGCGCCGCAUUAGCUAGUUGGUAAGGUAACGGCUUACCAAGGCGACGAUGCGUAGCCGACCUGAGAGGGUGAUCGGCCACACUGGAACUGAGACACGGCCCAGACUCCUACGGGAGGCAGCAGUAGGGAAUCUUCCGCAAUGGGCGAAAGCCUGACGGAGCAACGCCGCGUGAGUGAUGAAGGUCUUCGGAUCGUAAAACUCUGUUAUUAGGGAAGAACAAAUGUGUAAGUAACUAUGCACGUCUUGACGGUACCUAAUCAGAAAGCCACGGCUAACUACGUG
rnacentral:rRNA from 1 species